UACGUAGGCAGCAAGCGUUGUUCGGAGUUACUGGGCGUAAAGGGUGUGUAGGCGGUUUUUUAAGUUUGGUGUGAAGUCUCCCGGCUCAACUGGGAGGGUGCGCCGAAUACUGAAAGACUAGAGUGCGGGAGAGGAAAGUGGAAUUCCUGGUGUAGCGGUGAAAUGCGUAGAUAUCAGGGAGGAACACCGGUGGUGUAGACGGCUUUCUGGACCGUAAGCUGACGCUGAGACACGAAAGCGUGGGUAGCAAACAGG
rnacentral:rRNA from 1 species